AGUGAACGCUGGCGGUAGGCCUAACACAUGCAAGUCGAACGGCAGCACAGUAAGAGCUUGCUCUUACGGGUGGCGAGUGGCGGACGGGUGAGGAAUACAUCGGAAUCUACUUUUUCGUGGGGGAUAACGUAGGGAAACUUACGCUAAUACCGCAUACGACCUACGGGUGAAAGCAGUGGAUCUUCGGACCUUGCGCGAUUGAAUGAGCCGAUGUCGGAUUAGCUAGUUGGCGGGGUAAAGGCCCACCAAGGCGACGAUCCGUAGCUGGUCUGAGAGGAUGAUCAGCCACACUGGAACUGAGACACGGUCCAGACUCCUACGGGAGGCAGCAGUGGGGAAUAUUGGGCAAUGGGCGCAAGCCUGAUCCAGCCAUGCCGCGUGGGUGAAGAAGGCCUUCGGGUUGUAAAGCCCUUUUGUUGGGAAAGAAAAGCAGCAGGUUAAUACCCCGCUGUUCUGACGGUACCCAAAGAAUAAGCACCGGCUAACUUCGUG
rnacentral:rRNA from 1 species